rnacentral:rRNA from 1 species
UACGUAGGGUGCAAGCGUUGUCCGGAAUUAUUGGGCGUAAAGAGCUCAUAGGCGGUCUGUCGCGUCGGCUGUGAAAACCCGGAGCUCAACUCCGGGCCUGCAGUCGAUACGGGCAGACUGGAGUUCGGCAGGGGAGACUGGAAUUCCUGGUGUAGCGGUGAAAUGCGCAGAUAUCAGGAGGAACACCGGUGGCGAAGGCGGGUCUCUGGACAUUUCCUGACGCUGAGGCACGAAAGCCAGGGGAGCAAACGGG